GGGCUUGUGGUUUAGUGGUAUAAUUUUCCCUUAGCAUCGAACCACGUGGGAAAGGUCCUGGGUUCGAUUCCCAGCAAGUCCA